rnacentral:rRNA from 1 species
GACGAACGCUUGCGGCGUGCUUAACACAUGCAAGUCGAACGGAAAGGCCCUGCUUUUGUGGGGUGCUCGAGUGGCGAACGGGUGAGUAACACGUGAGUAACCUGCCCUUGACUUUGGGAUAACUUCAGGAAACUGGGGCUAAUACCGGAUAGGAGCUCCUGCUGCAUGGUGGGGGUUGGAAAGUUUCGGCGGUUGGGGAUGGACUCGCGGCUUAUCAGCUUGUUGGUGGGGUAGUGGCUUACCAAGGCUUUGACGGGUAGCCGGCCUGAGAGGGUGACCGGCCACAUUGGGACUGAGAUACGGCCCAGACUCCUACGGGAGGCAGCAGUGGGGAAUAUUGCACAAUGGGCGGAAGCCUGAUGCAGCAACGCCGCGUGCGGGAUGACGGCCUUCGGGUUGUAAACCGCUUUCGCCUGUGACGAAGCGUGAGUGACGGUAAUGGGUAAAGAAGCACCGGCUAACUACGUGCCAGCAGCCGCGGUGAUACGUAGGGUGCGAGCGUUGUCCGGAUUUAUUGGGCGUAAAGGGCUCGUAGGUGGUUGAUCGCGUCGGAAGUGUAAUCUUGGGGCUUAACCCUGAGCGUGCUUUCGAUACGGGUUGACUUGAGGAAGGUAGGGGAGAAUGGAAUUCCUGGUGGAGCGGUGGAAUGCGCAGAUAUCAGGAGGAACACCAGUGGCGAAGGCGGUUCUCUGGGCCUUUCCUGACGCUGAGGAGCGAAAGCGUGGGGAGCGAACAGGCUUAGAUACCCUGGUAGUCCACGCUGUAAACGGUGGGUACUAGGUGUGGGGUCCGUUCCACGGGUUCCGUGCCGUAGCUAACGCUUUAAGUACCCCGCCUGGGGAGUACGGCCGCAAGGCUAAAACUCAAAGGAAUUGACGGGGCCCCGCACAAGCGGCGGAGCAUGCGGAUUAAUUCGAUGCAACGCGUAGAACCUUACCUGGGUUUGACAUGGAUCGGGAGUGCUCAGAGAUGGGUGUGCCUCUUUUGGGGUCGGUUCACAGGUGGUGCAUGCCUGUCGUCAGCUCGUGUCGUGAGAUGUUGGGUUAAGUCCCGCAACGAGCGCAACCCUUGUUCACUGUUGCCAGCACGUUAUGGUGGGGACUCAGUGGAGACCGCCGGGGUCAACUCGGAGGAAGGUGGGGAUGACGUCAAGUCAUCAUGCCCCUUAUGUCCAGGGCUUCACGCAUGCUACAAUGGCUGGUACAGAGAGUGGCGAGCCUGUGAGGGUGAGCGAAUCUCGGAAAGCCGGUCUCAGUUCGGAUUGGGGUCUGCAACUCGACCUCAUGAAGUCGGAGUCGCUAGUAAUCGCAGAUCAGCAACGCUGCGGUGAAUACGUUCCCGGGGCU